rnacentral:rRNA from 1 species
UGGGGAAUAUUGCACAAUGGGCGCAAGACUGAUGCAGCCAUGCCGCGUGUAUGAAGAAGGCCUUCGGGUUGUAAAGUACUUUCAGCGGGGAGGAAGGCGAUGUGGUUAAUAACCGCGUCGAUUGACGUUACCCGCAGAAGAAGCACCGGCUAACUCCGUGCCAGCAGCCGCGGUAAUACGGAGGGUGCAAGCGUUAAUCGGAAUUACUGGGCGUAAAGCGCACGCAGGCGGUCUGUCAAGUCGGAUGUGAAAUCCCCGGGCUCAACCUGGGAACUGCAUCCGAAACUGGCAGGCUUGAGUCUCGUAGAGGGGGGUAGAAUUCCAGGUGUAGCGGUGAAAUGCGUAGAGAUCUGGAGGAAUACCGGUGGCGAAGGCGGCCCCCUGGACGAAGACUGACGCUCAGGUGCGAAAGCGUGGGGAGCAAACA